ACUGAAUUCUAGAAGCAUGAACAUUACCGCAGUAAACAAUUACUUAAUGACUGAGUACAAUCAAUUUUAAAAGAAUUAUGACCAGCCAAUAAUGAUCUUAUUACUGUGAUGCAUUCUAGUUUUAUACAUUCUAGAAACCCUUUCUCAAACUUUAGCCAGUACUGCCAACUGUUGAUUUCCUCCAAGUAUCUUUGAGCAAGAUGGGAUUGGUGCUAAGGGACAAGGUGGGGAUGAAGGACUGCACCAUAACUUCUACUUAGAGUGGACUCCAAAGAACAGAAAUCAGGCCGUGAUGCACAAAGAAAACAGAAGCAGGAUGGCCCCGGUAGCUGGUGUUCAGAAAUCCUGAGGUUCAUUCAAGCAAUUCUCCAGCACAAGGCAAAGGAAAGGAGGCUGCACUCUGACUUGGCACAGUCCACACACAGCUCUCAGGCUACGAUUUGCUGAUUCUGUUUCUCCUUAAGGCUUUCUUUGACACUCACAUGAAGCCUGAUUUCCCCGCUAAAAGAACACAAAUGCCUGAAAGACGCAGGGAGAAGCGAUGGUUCCCUACUUGCAUUAAUUACCCUGCCACCGGACAGGGACAUCCCAGGAACAAAGCAGAGCCAGCUGUGCUUCCCCUUGCAACACUGGCUUUCUAGUAUGCUCCUGACCAUAAAAUACACUGCAAAACAUGGUAGCUUCCCACCGUCUGAGCUGGGUUCGUAGAACCUCUCUUGUCCUUGUUCACCUUCUCACCUAUAAACACUUUUGGAGACACCUGUUUUAUAACCAUCCCAGUAUGGGAAAGAGAAAGGCAGGUGUUACUCCCAAGAAAGGGCCCUUACCCUUUAAGACAAAACGGAGUUGUUUGAAUUCUUCCUUUUAUCAGUAGUAAACUGAGCAAAGGAAUUGAAUAUCACUCGCUUCUGUAUCUCCAGCCCUGGCAAAGCUCCAGCUCACAAUUGCUGCUCAAUAAGUGGUGGUGAACUGCACUAAUGUCCAAGUCCUCUUGCACUGAAUUUGUUAAAUCUUGGGAUGCACACUGAAAACAGGUAAUGUACUUGCGCUUAUCCGUUUACACACACUCCCACCAUCUAGUCUCUCUCCCAACUUAAUUAUUUUCUAUGCUCAUCCACCCAGAAAGUUCAGUUAUAGGUGUAUUUUGUGUAAUAUCACAUUUUAAAUAAUAUCUAUGCUGAAUAGAAUCUAGUCUUAUGAAUUGUUGUUGAAUGAAAGAAAGUAUCAAUACACUGCAGGUAACAGGUAUUUUGGUAUGCAGUGAAUGCAAGAAAGAAAAAGUGAAUACAGCAAGCAAGCAACGCCCCUCAACAUGAAACAACUUUUCUCUUUCACUUACUAAUCUUGCUCCUUGUUUCUCUGGUCCGCCUGUCUUUUGUCGUUUUUUCUUCGUUUUUCCUCUUUUUCUUUUUUCAUGUUUUUCUUACUUGCUAGGCUUUUAAGCUGGUUGGGUACUCAAAGGAGUGACAAAAUUACCAAAGGAGUUGAGCAAUAUUACCAAAGGCACUCAGAUUUCCCAUGUGAGCUUCCUUACCCUACGUACGCCUUUUGCCCCAGAGAAAGGGUGCCCUGGUUCAAAAUAACUGUAACUAGUUCUCUACCUUUCUCUUCUCUCAUAAAGGGACAUGUAGGAAGAGUCAGAAGAGCAAACCUUUAUAGGGUCUCCUUGGGUAUCAGCUGGCCAUGGUAAAAUGACAGUAACCUACUUGUAAACUCAGACAAGUUUGCAGAGUUUAAAUACAAUUUUUUAAUCAAGCUAAUAUUCGUCAACUGCCCAUCUAUGAG
rnacentral:lncRNA from 1 species